UACGUAGGUGGCAAGCGUUGUCCGGAUUUAUUGGGUUUAAAGGGUGCGUAGGCGGCUUUGUAAGUCAGUGGUGAAAUAUGGCAGCUCAACUGUCAGGGUUCCAUUGAUACUGCGGAGCUUGAGUACAGAUGAGGUAGGCGGAAUUGACGGUGUAGCGGUGAAAUGCUUAGAUAUCGUCAAGAACACCGAUAGCGAAGGCAGCUUACUGGGCUGUAACUGACGCUGAGGCACGAAAGUGUGGGGAUCAAACAGG
rnacentral:rRNA from 1 species